rnacentral:rRNA from 1 species
UACGGGGGGAGCAAGCGUUGUUCGGAUUUACUGGGCGUAAAGGGCGCGUAGGCGGCCACCGCACGUCGGUUGUGAAAUCUCUGGGCUUAACCCAGAAAGGUCAACCGAUACUGCGGGGCUAGAGUGCAGAAGGGGCAACUGGAAUUCUCGGUGUAGCGGUGAAAUGCGUAGAUAUCGAGAGGAACACCUGCGGCGAAGGCGGGUUGCUGGGCUGACACUGACGCUGAUGCGCGAAAGCUAGGGGAGCGAACGGG